rnacentral:rRNA from 1 species
GACGAACGCUGGCGGCGUGCUUAACACAUGCAAGUCGAACGGAAAGGCCCUGCUUUUGUGGGGUGCUCGAGUGGCGAACGGGUGAGUAACACGUGAGUAACCUGCCCUUGACUUUGGGAUAACUUCAGGAAACUGGGGCUAAUACCGGAUAGGAGCUCCUGCUGCAUGGUGGGGGUUGGAAAGUUUCGGCGGUUGGGGAUGGACUCGCGGCUUAUCAGCUUGUUGGUGGGGUAGGGGCUUACCAAGGCUUGGACGGGUAGCCGGCCUGAGAGGGUGACCGGCCACAUUGGGACUGAGAUACGGCCCAGACUCCUACGGGAGGCAGCAGUGGGGAAUAUUGCACAAUGGGCGGAAGCCUGAUGCAGCAACGCCGCGUGCGGAAUGACGGCCUUCGGGUUAUAAACCGCUUUCGCCUGUGACGAAGCGUGAGUGACGGUAAUGGGUAAAGAAGCACCGGCUAACUACGUG